UACAGAGGGUGCAAGCGUUAGUCGGAAUUACUGGGCGUAAAGCGUGCGUAGUCGGCCAUUCAAGUCGGGUGUGAAAGCCCCGGGCUCAACCUGGGAAUUGCAUUCGAUACUGUGUGGCUAGAGUUCGGCAGAGGGAAGUGGAAUUUCUGGUGUAGCGGUGAAAUGCGUAGAUAUCAGAAGGAACAUCAGUGGCGAAAGCGACUUCCUGGACCAGAACUGACGAUCAGGCACGAAAGCGUGGGGAGCAAACAGG
rnacentral:rRNA from 1 species